rnacentral:tRNA from 2 species
AAAGGGUACUUAAGACCUGCUAAAUCUUUUAUCUGGUACUAACUAACCAGCCC